rnacentral:rRNA from 1 species
AUUGAACGCUAGCGGGAUGAUUUACACAUGCAAGUAGAACGAGUGGCGGACGGGUGAGUAAUAUAUAGGAACGUGCCCAGUAGCGGGGGAUAACUACUCGAAAGAGUGGCUAAUACCGCAUAUUAUUGGAGCGGACGAUAUCGGCAUGGCUAGUUGGGGGGGUAAAGGCUCACAAAGGAAACGAUCCGUAGCUGGUUUGAGAGGACGACCAGCCACACUGGGACUGAGACACGGCCCAGACGCCGACGGGAGGCAGCAGUGGGGAAUGUUGGACAAUGGGGGAAACCCUGAUCCAGCCAUCCCGAGUGUAGGAGAAGGCCUUCGGGUUGUAAAGUACUUUUGGCAGAGAAGCGGUAUCUGCAGAAUAAGCACCGGCUAACUACGUGCCAGCCGCCGCGGUAAUUC